UUCCCAGACUCCUACGGGAGGCAGCAGUGAGGAAUAUUGGUCAAUGGUCGUAAGACUGAACCAGCCAAGUAGCGUGCAGGAUGACGGCCCUAUGGGUUGUAAACUGCUUUUAUGCGGGGAUAAAAUGCGUCACGUGUGAUGUUUUGUAGGUACCGCAUGAAUAAGGACCGGCUAAUUCCGUGCCAGCAGCCGCGGUAAUACGGAAGGUCCGGGCGUUAUCCGGAUUUAUUGGGUUUAAAGGGUGCGCAGGCGGAGGUGCAAGUCAGCGGUCAAAUUGCGGGGCUCAACCCCGUACUGCCGUUGAAACUGCAUCCCUUGAGUGCGCGAGAAGUAUGCGGAAUGCGUGGUGUAGCGGUGAAAUGCAUAGAUAUCACGCAGAACUCCGAUUGCGAAGGCAGCAUACCGGCGCGCAACUGACGCUCAUGCACGAAAGCGUGGGUAUCGAACAGGAUUAGAUACCCCGGUA
rnacentral:rRNA from 1 species